rnacentral:rRNA from 1 species
AGUGAACGCUGGCGGCAUGCCUAACACAUGCAAGUCGAACGGCAGCACAGUAAGAGCUUGCCCUUACGGGUGGCGAGUGGCGGACGGGUUAGGAAAACAUCCCACUCUAUUUUUUCGUGGGGGAUAACGUAGGGAAACUUACGCUAAUACCGCAUACGACCUACGGGUGGAAGCAGGGGAUCUUCGGAUCUUGCGCGAUCUAAUGACCCGUUGUCGGAUUAGCUAGUUGGCGGGGUAAAGGCCCACCAAGGCGACGAUCCGUAGCUGGGCUGAGAGGAGGAACAGCCACAAUGGAACUGAGACACGGUACAGACUCCUAGGGGAGGCAGCAGUGGGGAAUAGUGGAAAAUGGGCGCAAGCCUGAUCAAGCGAUGCAGCGUGGGUGAAGAAGGCCUUCGGGUUGUAAAGCGCUUUUGUUGGGGAAGAAAAGCAGCAGGAUAAUAGCCGGCUGUUGUGACGGUACCUGAAGAAUAAGCACCGGCUAACUACGUG